rnacentral:rRNA from 1 species
UACGUAGGUGGCAAGCGUUGUCCGGAUUUACUGGGCGUAAAGAGCGCGCAGGCGGUCGUUCAAGUCGCGUGUGAAAGCCCCCGGCUCAACUGGGGAGGGUCACGCGAUACUGAUCGACUCGAAGGCAGGAGAGGGUAGUGGAAUUCCACGUGUAGCGGUGAAAUGCGUAGAGAUGUGGAGGAACACCGAUGGCGAAGGCAGCCUUCUGGGCCAACACUGACGCUCAUGCACGAAAGCGUGGGGAGCAAACAGG